GUGGGGAAUCUUCCGCAAUGGACGAAAGUCUGACGGAGCAACGCCGCGUGAGUGAUGAAGGUCUUCGGAUUGUAAAGCUCUGUUAAUCGGGACGAAAGAGCCUAGUGUGAAUAAUGCUAGGAAGUGACGGUACCGGAAUAGAAAGCCACGGCUAACUACGUGCCAGCAGCCGCGGUAAUACGUAGGUGGCAAGCGUUGUCCGGAAUUAUUGGGCGUAAAGCGCGCGCAGGCGGAUCUGCCAGUCUGUCUUAAAAGUUCGGGGCUUAACCCCGUUAUGGGAUGGAAACUACAGAUCUAGAGUAUCGGAGAGGAAAGUGGAAUUCCUAGUGUAGCGGUGAAAUGCGUAGAUAUUAGGAAGAACACCAGUGGCGAAGGCGACUUUCUGGACGAAAACUGACGCUGAGGCGCGAAAGCCAGGGGAGCGAACGGGAUUAGAUACCCUAGUAGUCC
rnacentral:rRNA from 1 species